rnacentral:tRNA from 1 species
GGAUGGGUGGCUGAGUGGUCGAAAGCACCUCGCUGCUAAUGAGGCAGGCCUGAAAGGGUCUCGUGGGUUCAAAUCCCACCCCAUCCGCAA